AACCAGCAAAACCCCAGGCCAUUGAAGUGGAGCACACAAACUGAAGCACUUGGCCCCGGGCCCGCCCCUGGAGGGUGUGAUUUCUAAAGAGUUCAGUUCAACUGACUUAAGAGAGCUCCCAGACCUUAAGCAUCAUGGACUACAACCUGGACAAUUUAUUUAUCAGAAGAGGCAUCAAAUAAAAGACCGUUUGCAGCCGUGUUGGAAAGGACCACACCAGGAGGAGAAGAAGACGGCGUC